GUAGACAUAGUUUAUAAAAACACUAGAUUGUGAUUCUAGAGAUAGAAUUUAUUUUCUUGUCUACC
rnacentral:tRNA from 1 species